rnacentral:rRNA from 1 species
CCUACGGGAGGCAGCAGUGAGGAAUAUUGGUCAAUGGCCGAGAGGCUGAACCAGCCAAGUCGCGUGAGUGAAGAAUGUCCUAUGGAUUGUAAACCUCUUUUGUCAGGGAGCAAAGUCACCCACGUGUGGGUGUUGGAGAGUACCUGAAGAAAAAGCAUCGGCUAACUCCGUGCCAGCAGCCGCGGUAAUACGGAGGAUGCGAGCGUUAUCCGGCUUUAUUGGGUUUAAAGGGUGCGUAGGCGGGUUAUCAAGUCAGCGGUAAAAUCGGGGAGCUCAACUCCAUCCAGCCGUUGAAACUGAUGGUCUUGAGUGGGCGAGAAGUAUGCGGAAUGCGUGGUGUAGCGGUGAAAUGCAUAGAUAUCACGCAGAACUCCGAUUGCGAAGGCAGCAUACCGGCGCCCGACUGACGCUGAAGCACGAAAGCGUGGGUAUCGAACAGGAUUAGAUACCCCGGUAGUC